UGGAGUAAUGGGCCGAGGACUAGGACGGGGUUGACUACUAUGAGGUCAACGUUGUGGUCUGUUGCUGUCUUCCAUGCUACUUGCUCUGCUACCGUUUUCGCGUAGCAGUACCAAUUCUGCAAAUAUAUCGUUACCGAAUUUUGAUCACUCCAGUAAGACUCAUCAACAACUGCAUCAGGAUCGCGAUUUGGGUCCAUAUACACCGCACCAAUUGAUGAUGUGAACACGACUCGGCGAACUCCAGCUUCAGCAGCAGCACAAAUAACGUUCUUGGUGCCCGUGACCGCUGGCUCUAUCAUUUUCUCCUGCAUAUGAAAUUAGCUCAUGUAAUCCAACUCACAAACGGGAUCGUCAGUGACCGGAGAUGCAGUGUGGAAGACGCCGGAGCAUCCGUUGAUGGCGGAGUAGAGACUGGCGUGGUCGAGGAGGUCGGCUUUCAGGAGGAUGAGUCUCUCCGCAGCUCCUUCUAGUGCUCUUAGGUGAGAGUUCUUUGGAUCAUCUUUUUCAAAUGAGGGGGGGAAAAAGUUAAGAUUUUAGCAUUAUUAAAGAAACAAAAUUUUCAAGAUUACCAAGUGUAUUGGUAUUGUGUCCGACAACAAAGAAUUUGUGUGAACCAGAAGUAUUAUGUUUUUGGAUAUCAAUCUUUUAAAUCUUUCAUGUUU